rnacentral:misc_RNA from 1 species
AUUGUGUUAUGCUGCGUGGGCGGUGUCAGAAACGACAGCAUAACUCAAAAAAUAAAACGAGGAAAUUAAGGUUUCAAAAUCCUAGUGAGGAUAAUUUUAUUGUUCGAUUUGAGUAUUAAAUACUAUUGCAAUUAUGCUAGCGAUAUGCAGACAAAAAGAACUACAAAACGACCUAUAAACCUAGGCUUCCCAGUCAGCAAUGUAACUUUUAUAGUAGAGGAUCAACGUAUCCACGUUAAUAAGGCGACCCUUUCUGGAAACUCACCUGUAUUCAAUGCCAUGUUUAACGGCCACUUCAAGGAAAGAACGGCAAAGGAGAUUGUUUUACAAGGAAAAAAGGCAGCAGAUGUUGUGGAGUUUCUGAAAUUUUUUCAUCCUAUGAAGAAACAAUCUAUAACAGGUAAACAAAGGAGCGGCUAAAGUUUUUAAGGAAUACUUGAAAGUAAAAGGCGAAAAUGAGAACUUUCAAGACUUUGACAACGUGAAAUUAGACGAGAUGCUAGGCCAUUUCUACAUGGAUCUACGUAGAGAAGAUGGGUCACAUUACAAAGUAAAUUCCCUGGAGACAAUUCGCCAUGGCAUAAACAGAUAUUUGAAGUCACCCCCCCUUCAACAGAAAAGUGGAUAUAGUGAAGGAUUCCUCGUUUACCGAUAGCAACACUUGUUUUAAGGCUGUUUUAGCCGAAGCCAAAAGAAUAGGGAAGGGAGACGUGGUUCACCAUUCUAUUAUCUCAGACACCGACUUGAAAUCAUUGUAUACAAGUAUGCAUCUGUCUAUCAAUACACCACAGGGUCUCUUCAGUAAAGUGCAGUUUGACAUCCGAAUGUUUUCUGCAGGCGGGGGAAUGAAAACAUGCAUAACAUGACCAAAAUUAUGUUCCGAGUUGAAACUGACGAGGACACUGGUCGAAAAGUCGUGAAAAAAGUCGUUGAUGAAUUAACUAAAAACCAUCGUUUGGACAAAGAAACUUCUUCUGGAAUUAUGCCAGAAAUUAAAGGAUCAAUCUACUGUCCAGUUUUGUCCUUCGGGAUGUACUUAUCAAAGCUCCAUCCAGAAUGUGACAGGCUAUGGCAGCGACCAAAAGAGAGUUUUCUCGAAUCUGAUGCAGUGUGGUUUUGUAAUGUCCCUGUUGGUGAAAAGAAAUUAAGGAGUUUUCUCAGCUCCUUGAGCAAGGCUAUUAACUUGUCAAAAGUAUAUACAAACCAUUCCAUAAGAGCAACUGGAGCAUCCAUUCUGUCCAAGUGUAUGUAUGGACCCUCACAAGUAAUGUCUGUCACUGGACACGAGUCCGUACAGUGCCUGGGUGUCUAUCAGCAAGUUAGUGAUGCAGAAAAAAUUCAGAUGGGUGAGUCUAUCAGCGAAAAUCUUGCACCAACAUCCAGCUUGCCAAUGUUACCAAGUACCAAGAGGCUUGCUAUUAUGGCUAAUUCAUCAUCUUCAUCAACGGUUUGUGAAAAUCAAAUAGUGGAAUGCGAUCUUAGCGGGUGGCAAAUUGAUCAACUUUUCGCAGAUUUUGAAACGCAGAGUCCAGUUGAAGAGAAACGACCAUUCAGACCAAUAUGCUUCAGUAACUGCACCGUGAAUAUCGGUAACAUCAACGUUAACACAAAAUAGUUCAGAUAAAAAAAUGCAGAGAUUGGAGUGGUUUUAAUUGUUUAUUAUAAAAUGUUUAAAAUAUUUUAUUGUUGAAAAACUGUUUGUUACUGAUAUAAAGAUUGUUGAACUUUAUUUACUGUUGAAAAAAUAAAAAUGUGUGGAAUUU